GGGCCCGUGGCGCAGCCUGGACAGCGCAUCGGCCUUCUAAGCCGGGGGUCGCGGGUUCGAAUCCCGCCGGGCCCG
rnacentral:tRNA from 1 species